AGUGGAAGCGUCUGGAAAGGCGCGCGAUACAGGGUGACAGCCCCGUACACAAAAGCGCAUGUGCUGUGAGCUCGAUGAGUAGGGCGGGACACGUGGUAUCCUGUCUGAAUAUGGGGGGACCAUCCUCCAAGGCUAAAUACUCCUGACUGACCGAUAGUGAACCAGUACCGUGAGGGAAAGGCGAAAAGAACCCCGGCGAGGGGAGUGAAAAAGAACCUGAAACCGUGUACGUACAAGCAGUGGGAGCACAGGUUUACCUGUGUGACUGCGUACCUUUUGUAUAAUGGGUCAGCGACUUAUAUUCUGUAGCAAGGUUAACCGAAUAGGGGAGCCGGAGGGAAACCGAGUCUUAAYYGGGCGUUAAGUUGCAGGGUAUAGACCCGAAACCCGGUGAUCUAGCCAUGGGCAGGUUGAAGGUUGGGUAACACUAACUGGAGGACCGAACCGACUAAUGUUGAAAAAUUAGCGGAUGACCUGUGGCUGGGGGUGAAAGGCCAAUCAAACCGGGAGAUAGCUGGUUCUCCCCGAAAGCUAUUUAGGUAGCGCCUCGUGAAUUCAUCUCCGGGGGUAGAGCACUGUUUCGGCUAGGGGGCCAUCCCGGCUU
rnacentral:rRNA from 1 species